UGCACCGGAUCCCAUCAGAACUC
rnacentral:snRNA from 1 species